GAUGAACGCUGGCGGCGUGCUUAACACAUGCAAGUCGAGCGAGAAACUACAUGCAGACACUUCGGUAGAAGCGAGUAGCGGAAAGCGGCGGACGGGUGAGUAACGCGUAGGCAACCUGCCCUUCACAGAGGUAUAGCCUCGGGAAACCGGGAUUAAAACCACAUAAAAUCAUAGGUUCGCAUGAACCAAAGGUCAAAGAUUUAUCGGUGAAGGAUGGGCCUGCGUCUGAUUAGCUGGUUGGUAGGGUAAAAGCCUACCAAGGCGACGAUCAGUAGCCGACCUGAGAGGGUGAUCGGCCACAUUGGAACUGAGACACGGUCCAAACUCCUACGGGAGGCAGCAGUGGGGGAUAUUGCACAAUGGGGGAAACCCUGAUGCAGCAACGCCGCGUGAGGUAUGAAGGCCUUUGGGUUGUAAGCCUCUGUCCCUAGGGGAAGAAAAAAAUGACGGUACCCGAGGAGGAAGCCCCGCUAACUAC
rnacentral:rRNA from 1 species